CCGCAUAAUCGGUAUGUGUCGCGCACUAAACUGUUUACGUAUGCACCGGUUAACAAAAUCGAUGUGUUCCGGCACUCGCAGUCAGAAAGAAGCUGUGUGUUCACUGUUGGCACAUUGAAUGAUUGGAUAAAUAAUGCUCUAUUGGAUAAAUACGUAAAGUACAUUGGACAGCUGUGAUUGUGGUGUGGACAGCUGAGAUUGUGUUUUGGACAGCUGAGAUUGUGACUUGGACAGCUGAGAUUGUGGUGUGGACAGCUGAGAUUGGUGUGGACAGCUGAGAUUGUGGUGUUGACAUCUGAAAUUGUGAUUUGGACAGCUGAGAUUGUGACUUGGACAGCUGAGAUUGUUCUGUGGACAGCUAAAAUUGUGGUGUGGAAUAAUGAUAUUGUGGUGUUGACAACAUAUUGUGGUGUGCACAUGUGAUAUUGUGGUGUGAUGGUUUAAAGUAGCAAAGGUAAAGAACGUUUGACAGCUUAGAUUGUGGUGUGGACAGCUGAUAUUGUGGUGUGGACAGCUGAGAUUGUCAUGUGGACUACUUAUAUUGUGGCUUGCAGAGCUGAUAUUGUGGUGUGAUGGUUUAAAGUACUAAAGAUUUAUUCCUUACUACCUUCCUGUCAACUAUAUCUUCCACAGCAUGAUUUAAUCUAGUCCCAAUCAUUGACUCUGGUUACCUCACCAGACGGUCCGUCCACAGAGUCACAAGCAACAGAUAUUAAAACUCGGCAAAGUACAUGUACUUCAGUCUUCCAGAGGAUAUUGUUAACAAUGAUGAUUUGAUGUAAAAAAGAAAAUGUAUUUGAAUAGCUAUAUUUCUCUUGUGUCACUUGGGUGUCAAAGGUCAUUUUAGAGAUUGUCCGGGCUGUAACUUUGCAACGCAUAAACGGGCUUAAAUGUUUGCCUCAGCUAGACAGUGUUGUGUUGAACUCCCAGUCCUUUUGACCGCUGGUGGGCUCGACAUGUUUCCUGUGGGCAUUUAGUUUAUAUUGCAUAUACUUCAAGUAGAUACACAUUUUAGAAUACCGGUAGAUAACCAAAUAAGAAAGAAAACAUUUUUUUAUUUUACAUAAUAGCAAAAUCUGGAAAAUUUUAACUUCAAUUUUCACUGUUAUAUUAUUAUAUAAUCACUUAUGAUGAGUAUGAAUGCAAUAUAGACACUGUAGACAAUUAAUCCCGCAUUUUUAUUCAUAUGAAGAUACAAUAUCUUGUUAUCUAUUAUUGUCAAUCAUUGGUAUGUACGAUUUUUGCCAUAGGUUUGAAUAGCUGACAAGCAUGGUAGAAAUUAUUAUUAACCAUUAACGGGCUAAAUUUCUAUAAUUAACUUGUCCAUCUUUCAAUAUGGACAGUAUCAUUAAAUGAAAGGGAUGGCUACCAAAACAUACUGACUGAAUGCAAACAGUGAAGAUCUUGAUCAGGCUAUACGGAUGUGCAGGCUGAUCAUGAUCUACACUGUUCACAAAGGCAGAAUCAAUCGUGUCCAGCAUGAUAAGGGUUAAAUCCGUUGUUUUUACUGCCUCCUUUUUUGGCUCAUUAUUGUACAAGUACAUAUACAGCAUUGCUUUUCUAACCAUGUAAUAAUGCAUAUGAUUGCUUUUCAAAAUAACUAAGCUUUUUCUCCUCUCUCACCAUACUUUAAGUAAGUUCAGUUUUAGAAAGUGUUUUGGGGCAAAUUAUAUUCAAAUCAAUGUAGUCAAUGAAUGUGUGCAGUUUCAGGUGAAUGGCUCAAGCAGUUUUAUAUCAAAUUAUAUAGUUAAUUUUGUCCCCUGUGCAUCCUAGAAAGUGUGACAUUUUAUAUGAAGGGUAGUUUUCAACUGUGUUUUAUUUUUUCAAACCAAGCAUUAUUGUAACAGCUUUAAUUAUUUAUGUAAGUCAAACUCUGCACAUUUAAAGGAAAAUACUUUUUUUCAUAAACUACAUUUUAUUCUUACCAAUGUGUCAAAUCUUUUGAUGGAACCCCCUUCACAAAUAAAUAUGAAAACAAUUCUAAAUUUAAAUGUUGAUCACUUCAAUUUCAUAACCCUAUUGCUUUUCUUAUGUCCUAAUGUUUUACAAGAUCUUAAUAUUUUCAGCUAUGAAGAUCCAAUUAAUAUGAUUUUUUGUUUGAUAAAUCAAUUUAGCAGAACCUUGAUGAAUGUCUAUACACCCCAAAAUGUCCACUUUGCACCAUUUCAGUUGUUAAGUGUCAGAUAUAUUUUGAGCCGCGCCAUGAGAAAACCAACAUGGUGGCUUUACGACCAACAUAGAUCCAGACCAGCCUGCGCAUCCA